UUUCUCAGCUAUCUGCAGUUUUACCAAUACCAGCAAAGCCAUCCAGACCUGUUUAGGAUGCUCCUUAUGGACGGAUUUGGCAUCCCCUGGCUUCCCCACCAUGGUUCUGGACCGUGGCCUCUGCUGACUGAUCUUGGGAAGAUUUUGACAACUGUCGCUCAUCACCCUAGGGGAGGGAACAAAGACCCUGGAGGAAAUUAUUCAAACCAUUUAAUUUGAGCCAUUUGCUGUCUGACCUUUACGCCUGCCACGUACAAACGUUUACUCAGAGACGAGCUGAGGACACCCAAGCUGUCAAGCUGCCUCCCUGAAGAGAAGCAAAGUGCUCGAAAGACAUUCACUUCUGGAAUGUCCUCCUAGAUGAAACCUGGAAAGAAAGGAAACUGGAAAGUAAAUAGUGGAUGAGCUCUCUUCCUCAUAAAACCCAGCACAUCUGCAGCCUUCAUUGUAAAGGCUUGCACGUUUCCAGAUCAGAGCUGCACGAUGGGGAGAUCAGACUGCCGGGCACAGAAAGGCAAUAUCAGUCCCCUGACAUGUGCGAUGUGAAGUUCUCAGUAUCACCUAUGAGGUAAAUGAAAGGAUUUGAUGUAAAUCCAUCAAGCCUUUAGAACCAACUUUUCUUUCUCCAGGGAUCGAGCCUCAGAGAUAGAGAUCUCAAGGAAGCAAUC